GGUGGCGGCAUAGAACGGUGGAGCUGUUAGCUCCGCGCUGCAGACAUCAUUAGGAGUGGAGGGAGACGAUUCCACCGUCAGCGCAGGAACAGGAAGCCCUGGCAACAAGGAGAGACCGCUCUUACCAGACCAUUACACCGUACAGGAAUCAGGGUGAAAACACCUGGAGCGAGGCAGACAGAGUGGGACUCUGAGAGCAAGGCUGCAGUACUGACUGGUCCCCUGUGUUCAACUGGACUACAGUACUGACUGGUCCCCUGUGUUCAACUGAACCACAGUACUGACUGUUCCCCUGUGUUCAACUGGACCACUGUACUGACUGGUUCCCUGUGCUCAACUGGACCACAGUACUGACUGGUCCCAUGUGUUUAACUGAACCACAGUACUGACUGUUCCCCUGUGUUCAACUGGACCACUGUACUGACUGGUUCCCUGUGCUCAACUGGACCACAGUACUGACUGGUUCCCUGUGUUCAACUGGACCACUGUACUGACUGGUCCCCUGUGUUCAACUGGACCACAGUACUGACUGGUCCCCUGUGUUCAACUGGACCACAGUACUGACUGGUUCCCUGUGUUCAACUGGACCACAGUACUGACUGGUUCCCUGUGCUCAACUGGACCACAGUACUGACUGGUUCCCUGUGUUCAACUGAACCACAGUACUGACUGGUCCACUGUGUUCAACUGAAUCAGUUCCUGGUUUCUCGCACCUGGACCACCGGACCAGGACCAGGCCAGGACCACAGUACUGACUGGUCCGCUGUCUUCAACUGAACCUCUUUCUGGUUUCUCCCAACUGGACCACCGGACCAGGCCAGGCCAGGCCAGGACCAACUGCCUUCUACCCUCAGGUAGUGCUGGGGCCCUGAGAGGAAGCAGUGCUAUGUUGUGAUUGGAGGACCCCUUCAUGGGCUGCAUCACGUGCUGACACACAGGAGGGACUGGAGGAGCUCUGUUGAA